CACGUAGGGUGCGAGCGUUGUCCGGAAUUACUGGGCGUAAAGGGCUUGUAGGUGGUUUGUCGCGUUGUUCGUGAAAUCCCGUGGCUUAACUGCGGGCGUGCGGGCGAUACGGGCAGACUGGAGUACUGCAGGGGAGACUGGAAUUCCUGGUGUAGCGGUGGAAUGCGCAGAUAUCAGGAGGAACACCGGUGGCGAAGGCGGGUCUCUGGGCCGAUACUGACGCUGAGGAGCGAAAGCGUGGGGAGCAAACAGG
rnacentral:rRNA from 1 species